UACGUAGGGGGCAAGCGUUGUCCGGAUUUAUUGGGCGUAAAGAGCGUGUAGGCGGCCUUACAGGUCAGCUGUGAAAACUCGAGGCUCAACCUCGAGACGUCGGUUGAAACCGUAUGGCUAGAGUCCGGAAGAGGAGAGUGGAAUUCCCGGUGUAGCGGUGAAAUGCGCAGAUAUCAGGAGGAACACCGGUGGCGAAGGCGGGUCUCUGGGCCGAUACUGACGCUGAGGAGCGAAAGCGUGGGGAGCGAACAGG
rnacentral:rRNA from 1 species